rnacentral:rRNA from 1 species
CGAGUGGCGGACGGGUGNGUAAUGUCUGGGAAACUGCCUGAUGAGGGGGAUAACUACUGGAAACGGUAGCUAAUACCGCAUAACGUCGCAAGACCAAAGAGGGGGACCUUCGGGCCUCUUGCCAUCGGAUGUGCCCAGAUGGGAUUAGCUAGUAGGUGGGGUAACGGCUCACCAGGCGACGAUCCCUAGCUGGUCUGAGAGGAUGACCAGCCACACUGGAACUGAGACACGGUCCAGACUCCUACGGGAGGCAGCAUG